rnacentral:rRNA from 1 species
AGGAAUAUUGGUCAAUGGACGAGAGUCUGAACCAGCCAAGUAGCGUGCAGGAAGACGGCCCUAUGGGUUGUAAACUGCUUUUAUAAGGGAAUAAAGUGAGUCUCGUGAGACUUUUUGCAUGUACCUUAUGAAUAAGGACCGGCUAAUUCCGUGCCAGCAGCCGCGGUAAUACGGAAGGUCCGGGCGUUAUCCGGAUUUAUUGGGUUUAAAGGGAGCGUAGGCCGGAGAUUAAGCGUGUUGUGAAAUGUAGACGCUCAACGUCUGCACUGCAGCGCGAACUGGUUUCCUUGAGUACGCACAAAGUGGGCGGAAUUCGUGGUGUAGCGGUGAAAUGCUUAGAUAUCACGAAGAACUCCGAUUGCGAAGGCAGCUCACUGGAGCGCAACUGACGCUGAAGCUCGAAAGUGCGGGUAUCGAACAGGAUUAGAUACCCUGGUAGUCCGCACGGUAAACGAUGGAUGCCCGCUGUUGGUCUGAAUAGGUCAGCGGCCAAGCGAAAGCAUUAAGCAUCCCACCUGGGGAGUACGCCGGCAACGGUGAAACUCAAAGGAAUUGACGGGGGCCCGCACAAGCGGAGGAACAUGUGGUUUAAUUCGAUGAUACGCGAGGAACCUUACCCGGGCUUGAAUUGCAGAGGAAGGAUUUGGAGACAAUGACGCCCUUCGGGGCCUCUGUGAAGGUGCUGCAUGGUUGUCGUCAGCUCGUGCCGUGAGGUGUCGGCUUAAGUGCCAUAACGAGCGCAACCCCUCUCCUUAGUUGCCAUCAGGUCAUGCUGGGCACUCUGGGGACACUGCCACCGUAAGGUGUGAGGAAGGUGGGGAUGACGUCAAAUCAGCACGGCCCUUACGUCCGGGGCUACACACGUGUUACAAUGGCAGGUACAGAGAGAGGGUUGUACGUAAGUGCGAUCAAAUCCUUAAAGCCUGUCUCAGUUCGGACUGGGGUCUGCAACCCGACCCCACGAAGCUGGAUUCGCUAGUAAUCGCGCAUCAGCCAUGGCGCGGUGAAUACGUUCCCG